UGGAUUCUAGAAUCGAUGGCUGUGUCCAAAUUCAGGUGCUGCGACCUCCCGAGGCCGGGUUUGUCGGCCGGUGACGUCACAGCGUCGCGACAAGUGCUGUCCAAAUUCAGGGUCUGCUUCAAACUCGGCCGACGAACGCGGCCUCAUUCUUCCGAUUUUGAAGGAUCGUUCUGGUGUAUCCUUCAAUGCCGACCGUAUCCCAAGAUGCAUUGCGGUCGGCCCCGAAGAAAUUUUCUGGCAACAAUGGCGGACGUUGAUGCGGGACGCGGAGUCGGGGAAAAUUUCACUUUUAAAUAGCCGGCGUCACCGACCCUGUUCUUCGUGAACUCCACUGCCCUGCUUCAGUAAUUCCUGAUUAGCUGGAUUGGAUGAGCUCCGUUUCUGAUUGACUGAACACACCUGAUCAGGUGAGCAGAAAAGUAGCUGAAACAGGGUUAGCUGCCAAACAAACAGGGCAGGAGCUCAAUAACAACAGAGUUGGUGACAUUACUGUAGAGUUGAGUGUUUUUGUGUUUUAAUGUGAAACAUUUUUGAGAGGGAUUAAACCUGUCAUCUCUCCUGCUUUGUUUUCUGUGUUUUUCAGGACAAUCCUGGAGAAAAUGGAUCUGCUGGAGAAGUACAGCAGUGGGUGAAAGAGAGGAGAGUGAAGAAAGAGAAGGAAGGAGAAACAGUGAUGAGCUUCUAGACCUGAGCAGAGGACAUCAGGCAGAAGAGCAGAGCGCACGAGAGAGGAGGGUAACUUUUGACCAACUUUAGUCUGCUGGAAAGAAUUGCUGUUAAAAUCCUUAGAUGUCUGAUAAUAAAUAAAUGAAGUUUAUGUUUGAUAUAUUAAACAUGUUUGUUUUUGUUUUGUUAAUUUAAAUAAAGAUCUAAAUCAAACACAGUGAUUGUCAUGGAUUAAUUGUAACUUUUAUUUCCAACUAUUUACAAAGUAAGUAAGUAAGUAAAUCUUUAUUUAUAUAGCACUUUUCACAGAGGACCACUCACAAAGUGCUUCACAAAAGAUAAAAUACAUAAGUCGACAUGGAUGGGGGGGGCUUCAACUGAGACCCGGGCUGGAACUUUCUGGGUGAUGAUUGAACAUCUUGCAAUGUGGUCUGCAGAGUUUCAGGAUCAUCUUCACUGUAGACUGCAUCGUCCAUCUUCAGGGUUUGCAGGGCUGGCUGUCGAUGGAUGCUGCAUGACCAAAAAUGAUCCAUAAAUAUGAGAUAAUGAAUUUACAGGCUUUGGAAAAAAAAUAUCUUG